rnacentral:tRNA from 1 species
GGUUCGUUGGUGUAAAGGCUAACAUCCCGGAUUGUCUAUCCGAUGAUAUGGGUUCGAUUCCCAUACGGACCG